GCUCCUGACAACCAGGAGACCGGAGCAAGAAUGAUGGUGGAAGCAAGUUUCUGCGACAACAUGGCUUUCUGGGUCUGUCUGUGAGCCGGUCUGUCCUUAGCGCCCCGCAUCGGUCAUGUGAGGACGACGGAGAUCGAUUGUCACGUUCUGUCCCCAAAAAGUGCAAUAUCCGUGCCAAGCUAAACAGUGGGCGGACGAGGAGCCGUCAAAGCACCCUCGGUUGUGUGUCUCACCCGUGUGACGGAGCCGCGAGUCACUUGGUAAAGACGGCUGACGGCGUAAAUGGAGUUGACCUCUGCCAAAG